rnacentral:lncRNA from 1 species
AACUGCUAGCCCUGUUAGUUGAACUCUUUCUUUGGAUGAUUUUUCUCUGGGAUAGUUUUUGUGCUUUUUGCGAGCAGACCUGUAGCUCAGAGUGAACAUUCUGGGUGCACAUUCACCCAGUAAAGGCUACUCGUGCUCAUGUAGAAAAAAAUACACUCGAGCCUACAAGGACAAUCUCAUGUCUGAUGAACGGAGGAGGACUGCAGAGGCCCUUGGCAGACAUAGCAUUGCUAGAAAGAAUUUUUUAAACUCUCUUUUAAGAAGUAGGUUUAAAAACAAGCAUUGCCACAGUCUCAGUAUUUAUGCUUCAAGUGGACAAUAAUUUCAGAACCAGUUAAUCAUACUUCAAGGUUGGAAGGGUUUCUUGAAAAAUUCUUAGGCAACUCAUUGGGGACAAAAUGAACAGUGUCAUGAAGGAAUUCAAUUAUGUUACAUAUAAAUUAAUCUAAAAGAAUAAGGAAGGGAAAAAAAAUCAAAAUGAUAUCACUUAUUUAAGUUGAUUGUUUUGGCAAACAUAUUUCACUGUGUUACUCUGUAAGAGCUGCCAGAAAUUUUAUGGAAGGCUCAACAUUUUUAUUUCAAUGAAUUUGGCCUGACUGGGAGGACAAUGACGAGUGGGAAACAUUAAGCAUGCUUACUCAAAAAAAACAGCUAAAAUAUCACUGUCCCCUCUGGAUGUUCAAAUAAGAAAGAAAAAUGAUUUAAAUGUUGGCUAGGACCAAAUGUGGAUGACAAUAGUUAACGUGGGAUUCCCAUCUCAGUAGAUAUUUACUUCAGCAUCUGCGAUAUUCAACAAUAGAAGGAAAUAGUGGAAAUCAAUAGCAGGAUUUCCUUUGACAAUUCACUUUUAUUCUUUCUUCACUAAAGUCCCUUUAUUCUUGCAUAGUAAAAAUUGUAUACAUCAGUGACAGCUGGAGGGAAUGCAGCUCCAGGUCUAGAAACACCUCAAUCCAUCAACAAGGAGGUGUGGCAGCUGGUCAUUUCUGUCAUACAGGAAGGAAACUGUAGCCUUCACUUUGACCCAUGAAAAGCAAGUCAAGAAGGGGACAUUCAUGCUUAGACACUGGAUACAGUGGGGUCAAGAUCCAGAGGAAAGUUGUGAGUAAAAGAUACCAUAGUGCAAAGUUGCUUAGUCACUUGUUUCCAGCAGAUACCACUGUAUAUGUAGUUUCUUGUUGUGAACACAUCUGAGACACUGUCUGUAUCUGCACUAGCAGGCACUAGUUCAUUGUAGGAGUAUCUCUUUAGAAAUAAAAACUUGCUCUUCACUUUUUAUUCAUGGUGUUGUGAGCACAUUAGGAGCUGAACUAGAUCUCAUUUUGUGUUUUAAAUUUAACCAGUUUCACCAGCACUGUCAUCUAGUUCAUUUCAGAAUGAACAAACUGCAAAAGGAGAUAACAGGAGAUGCAUUUCAGAAGGGAAUUCCUGAUAUAAACAGAAAUGAGCUCUAUUGUCUCCCAUUGUUGCAGUAUGUAUGCAACCAACAGCACUGCUGCACAAGGCAGCUGAAGGAUACUGAAUCAGCAAUUAGUCAGCUGCCUGGCUUCUCUUGAAGCAGUAGCAGGAUCUGAAAGAAAACACUUAGAGUUCAGAAAAACCACUGUGAAGAGGAUUAAAAGAUAUGCAGUAACUGACAUGAAUUACAAGAGAAUUAGUUGAAGAAAUCACAUGAAGAGAUCUAGUAUGGAAUAGGUAAAAAUACUUUGAAUACCAAGAUCUAUUUCCUUGCUAUUUUGAGAGGUGCUUCUGAAUCUAUUGAUGGUGAAUUGAAAGACUAUCAAGAUUAUACUGCCAAACUGUUUAUAAAUAAGUUCAAAGGGAUGAGAGAUUGUUACCUAUUGGAGAUUUGCCAAAGCAAGUAAUCUUCAGAUAUACAAAUGUACCAAAAAACACUUCCAGACAACUUUUAGAUGUGUGACAUGUUUUGUCAGUGCCUGGUCAGUAAUAAUGCUCAUUAGAGAACGAGGGCAGCUACGGGAGGCAGUGCCUUUGUCUGCGCUGUAAGCACAAAUAUGUUAGUUGUUCACUGGCAAAUAUAUUGAGACAUCAACAACUUUUUGCUGAAUGUUGCUAGUCAAGGACUAUUUCAGGAGUUAGAACAGACAUUCUGAUAAGUCACUUCCAUUUUGUGUACCAUAAGAAAGGAACAGAGUUGCUCAAAGUAAUUAGCCUUCAUUUCACUGAUCACGGCAAGAACUGAAUGAAUUCAAUAGUAAGCAGAAAUGGUCAAAUAACUGCUUUUCUCUGCUUGAUGGCCAGCAAAGAAAACAAAACAAGGUAGAGUGGUUAGAGAGAAAAAUGUUCUAGUUCAUUAAAAAAAACCAAGGUUUUACAAAGAAGAUAUCACAAACUGAAAGUUAAGUUUCAUUUUGAGAGACAAUCUAAUUCCAAAUGUUUGUAGUAAGAAUCUAAGAAAGAAAAACUAGGUUCAAGGAGAAUAGUUAACCUUUACCACUGAUAGCUCAACAAUUAAAAUAAUCCCCAUACCUGUUAGGAAUUCGGUUUUGUUUAUUAAAAAGUUGUAAGUCUACCUCACUUUAUUCCUUCAUAAAUGACUGCUCAGCCAAGCUGUAAACGCUCAAUCUCUCACAGAUUUUCUUUAUUUCGUAUUAAAACAUGAAGUAAUAAUUCACGAUAAUCACAGAGUGGAAAUCUGUUUUCCUAUUUCCUAAGGUGAGGGAUCUAAUUAUCAGGCUGUAAAAUCUUUUUUCUCCAGUUCUCCAUAAAUACGUAGAUGACUUGCACAAAGCAAUACAUCUACAAAAGAGCAUAGCCUGUAUCAGGAUACUUAAAGAAGAUGACUACAACAUUCUGUAUUAUGUCCAUUCUGUACAUAUAACAUUGUUAAAAUGCUUUUUGGUUGAAAAGUGUGUGGGAUCCAAAUCUCCCACUUUCUGAAAAAGUCCUUUGGCUACAAACUACUAUUUAAAAGACUACUUAACCCAGUAAAAAAAGAAAAUGAACCUCAACCAAGCUGAAUAUAGAAGAAAGAUUUGAAGAAAUAUUAACAGAGGUGAAAAUAAAUAAAAAUGAAACCAGUAAGAUAUAGGAAACCAUUCAAUCAAUCACAUUUUCAGCAUUCAGACCAAAAUAACAAGUAAAAAUCCUUUUUAAAUUAAAAAUUCUAUUAAGAAAAUGCUUUUCUUGAGGGAAUGCUGUGAUAUGGUAAAACAUUUUAUUUUAUUUCCCUUGGAAGUGAAGUUGUUUCUUCUUUUUUUUUUUCUUCCGUAAAUAAAAGCACUAUCAAAAGAUGUUAAAGUUUUCCUAUUAAUUUGCAAGCCCCCCUCAGCCUCCCCUUUAUUUUCACUGAUGUGAAUGGCAAAACUGGGACCAUUAUUGUACAGAAAUUUCAUCCAUGAUUUUACCAAAAGAACAAGCAAAAGGAAUGUUUCCAUCUGAUCAGGACACUACGCAUUAAGAAGGUAUAAGAAGAGAGGGGAAAAUAAUGCAGACUGAAAAAUAAAACAGACUGAAAAAGUUUAAUUAGAAGAUCCUAAAGGACUGUGCCGGUUCUGCUUCUAUUCAAAACUGGCUCUGGUGUAAAUCUGAAGCUGACAUGCAUGGAGUAAUAAUGACUGGAGAAAAUAGAGAGCAAAUGCUCUUCUAAUUUCAUUUUAAUUUAUGUAUUGUUACAUGAGUCAACUGGCUCUCAAAGAAAUUAGGCAGUGGGAGAGAUUUCAGAGAAGUAGCAACUCAUCUGAAUGACAACAGUUUUUCAGAACAAAGUGGAAAAUCUAUUUUGUUUACCAAGACUCAGCUGUUUGAAAGUGGCAGAAUAUAUCUGCAAGAAAAAAACUGCUAUGUUGAACAUAGUUAGGAGGCUGAAGCUCUGCAACUGAAAAAGACUCUUAUUAAAUGGAUAAGACAUAUAGGAGAUCUCUUUCCUUUGCUGGUAAUGGGCACAGACAGCGAUGCAGUGUCAGAGCUGCCCCUUCCCCGUGCUAGUGACAGUAGUGAUGCUGCUGAUGAAGACGAGAUUUCUUUGGAUGCACACAGUAUCCAAAGAACAAAUAGGAAGGGACAGCAGCAAUGAGUUUUUUUAAUAACCACAGGAACGCUAAGGAGGUUGUCAGGGAAAACAGAGAGCCGCGGGGAGACAGGAUGCACUGAAGGCUGAAGUUGAUGUCUUGAAUUCCUGGAGUCAAGGGCAAAACCUCUCCUGGCAUCUGCAGAGCCAGGAGCUCACCCUCAGCGUGCAAAGCACAAAGGGGUGAGCUGUGCUCACAUCGAGCUGACUGCAGAGCCCAGCCAGGCAAGUUCAGCUGCUCAUAACAAAAACUGUUCUCUUGAGAUAUUUUGAUUUCUGAGAGGCACAGACAUUUGCCCCAGUCCUGUUUCCUUAAAAACAGCAAGUGCAAAACUUUAUACAAGAGGCAACUCAUUUCCACAUCAGAAGGAAUUCCAUCAAGAAAUCAUUACUCCCCAUAAACCUUACAUGAUCAUUUAAAAGUAAAUCUUCUUAUUGUCUACUAAUAGCAAGGUAAAUGAAACAUAAAAUGACCAUGAGAAAGAAGUUUCUGAGCUCGAUAUGACAGCACGCUAAUUUGUGACAGCAGUUACUUCUCCCUAAGCUGAAUUUCAGAGCACAGCAGAGGUAUGUCAGCCCUAGUAUGUCAAGGGAGUUACUGUGGAAAACCUCCCUAUGUACCCAGAGACCAAUAUGAGUGAGGGUCUUCCUAUGUUCUAUUACAAGUAAUGUAUCUGUAGCCAGCCUUUGUCAGAAUGCACAUAUUAAUCAUCCAGUUUUACUGAGUAACUGGAGUAACAUUGCCACUGAAAAAAAAGACUUGUGAGAUGGCUUUUAGGAACACCAGCAAUCCAGAAAAGAAUUAGCCGAGAUGAAAAUUUAAGUCCAGGUUUUCAAAAGCUUCUUCCAUCUCUACUCAUUUUCCUUUGUUGAAAAGUGACAGUGAUUGAUGUCUUCUCCCACCCAAAGUAUGCCGCGGUUAUUGCUCCUUAUGGUUAGAAUUAAGCUAACAGCCCAGCUCAAACACUCACCCAUCUAGAUGAAGUAUUUAUUAGCCACGAAUCCCUCUG